UGGGGAAUUUUGGACAAUGGACGCAAGUCUGAUCCAGCCAUGCCGCGUGCGGGAAGAAGGCCUUCGGGUUGUAAACCGCUUUUGUCAGGGAAGAAACGAGUUUCUCUAAUACAGAGACUUAAUGACGGUACCUGAAGAAUAAGCACCGGCUAACUACGUGCCAGCAGCCGCGGUAAUACGUAGGGUGCAAGCGUUAAUCGGAAUUACUGGGCGUAAAGCGUGCGCAGGCGGUUAUAUAAGACAGAUGUGAAAUCCCCGGGCUCAACCUGGGAACUGCGCUUGUGACUGCUAAGCUAGAGUACGGCAGAGGGGGGUGGAAUUCCGCGUGUAGCAGUGAAAUGCGUAGAUAUGCGGAGGAACACCGAUGGCGAAGGCAAUCCCCUGGACCUGUACUGACGCUCAUGCACGAAAGCGUGGGGAGCAAACA
rnacentral:rRNA from 1 species